UACGUAGGUGGCAAGCGUUGUCCGGAAUUAUUGGGCGUAAAGAGCGCGCAGGCGGUCGAUCAAGUCGAGUGUGAAAGCCCCCGGCUCAACUGGGGAGGGUCAUUCGAUACUGAUCGACUCGAAGGCAGGAGAGGGUAGUGGAAUUCCCGGUGUAGUGGUGAAAUGCGUAGAUAUCGGGAGGAACACCAGUGGCGAAGGCGACUACCUGGCCUGUUCUUGACGCUGAGGCGCGAAAGCUAAGGGAGCAAACGGG
rnacentral:rRNA from 1 species